rnacentral:lncRNA from 1 species
CCCAAACCCAGUGAUGUAUGACAAAAAAAUCUUUUCUAGCUCAUCAACAGGGAUCAGAUCAUCGAGGAAGAGCUUGGCAGGGCUGGCUGGGCUCACUCAUUAGUCUACAGUUUGGCUGGGCUUGCUCACGUGUCUACAGAUGGGGAAACUGAAGACAGGAGGAAUGGGCACUCAGCUAAUUUUGAAAAAGGAAGAAAUGAAUGUUCACUUGGAAGCCAAAAUGCUGUGAAACUGAGGCUGCGACACCUUGGUUUCUUCUUUAAAGUGGGAGUUAUCAGACCGAAUUUCACUACUUCUGAGGAUUGUGGAGCAGGAGGAAUGAGCUAAUAGAUGGAUGAAGUCCAAGUAGCUUUCUUAAGACAAGCGGUGGAAGCCACAUGGUGAGGAUGGUGGAGCAAUGAAACAUAAGAUGUCACCUUACUAGUCUUGGACUGCUUACUUCUGGAUUCUGCUAUAUGAGAGACAAAUAGACCUCUAUAUUGUCUGAGCUCUGUUAUUUCAGAUUUUUUGUCUUUCAGAGUUGACAUAAAUCUUAACUGAUGUAAGAUCACACAGCUAGUUACUAGUACAGCUGAGCUUUAAGCUCAGUUCUUUUGACUCCAAAUUCAGUUGUUUUUAUUUUGCUUCGUCGCAACUGGCAUCUUCACUUGCCUUACUUACAGAGCUUCUGUGAAAAUGAAAUGAGGAAACAG